rnacentral:lncRNA from 1 species
UGCCACAUCUUUAUUUUUCAUACAGCAACAGUCGUCAAGUCAUUUGCGUCCUCGCAGGGAGCAGCUUACCAGUAACUGAUGAAACAGACUCGUGUGUUUACGCAGACCUGAAGCUCCACUAGCUUAAUUGAAAAACCACAACCAGGGUCCAUAUUCACUAAGCUCCUAAGGAUCCUGUCUAGAGUCAUUGCACCAGGUUCCCUCAAGCAAAUCAUUCAGAGUGACUUCAAAGAGCAAAGUGUUGCCAGAUCAGCGCUACGUCUGUGCUGUCGACAAAGAUAAACAGCAGCCAAAGACAUAUCUGGUCACAUCAGUAGAAACAUCAAGUUACAUUUACAAGUUACAAUCAGCCCAAUCACUUCACUUGACUGUGGUUAAGUAAAACAGUAAAAGAAGGUGAUAUGUUCAAUAUACAUUAGGUUGAUCUUUGAUCAUGUCAAAGCACAGGCAGGUGCAUUACUUUGGGAGAACUUCCAUUGGAGGUGACCGUUCAUACAUGGCUCUAUAAAGUGCACUCCUUCAGAGAGAACAUUAUGAAUGAAGGCAGUCCAACCCUGACCACGAGCAGAGACGAGACGAAUAGGAAGCACUCCUCACUCACUACAAUUAUAAAUAUCAAAGUCAGGACACACAUAAUACUAUCACAAACACACAGAGCAUAAAUAAAACCAAUAAAAAUAUAUCUCAUCUAUGAGCUAUCUGACUUUCUAGUGCUCUCAUAUGUUACCUCAGCCACAUGACUUGUGGAAGUGAACUAACAGAGAUAGACAGGAUGAAUGGAAGAGUCACAGUAAAAAUAUAUGUUCACCAAUAAAUAACAGGAUGGGAGUAGAGGUCACGGUGGCGGCAGUAGAGUGUGCGAGACGAUCUUGCGUGCAGCAGUGCAUGCAUAAGGUGUAUGUAGCUACAAUAUACUCGUGAUUAUGCUGUGUACUAGAGAGGCAGUGUGGUGCAUCAGUUCUGCUGGGGUUUUAGUAAAAGUCAGCUCCAGUCAGAAGGAUCCUAAGAAUGUGUUCAUGCUGUAGCAGUGGCGUAAGGUGGGGUAGCCUGCUUGGGAGGGACACUGACACUGUCGUCAUAAGGAGGUAGCAGCACCUGGAGAUAAAGAACAAAGCAGAAGCUUUAGUGCAAGUUG